GGAGUUUGGACCGUGUCUCAGUUCCAAUGUGGGGGACCUUCCUCUCAGAACCCCUACCGAUCGAGGGCUUGGUGGGCCGUUACCCCGCCAACUACCUAAUCGGACGCAUCCCCAUCCAUGGCCGGUAAACCUUUUGUCCUCGUUAGAUGUCUGCAAAGGACGCCAUAGGGCAUUAAUCCGCUUUUCAACGGGCUAUUCCCUAGCCAUGGGCAGGUUGGAUACGCGUUACUCACCCGUGCGCCGGUCGCCAUCACGAGAUAGCAAGCUACCUGCAUGUUGCCCCUCGACUUGCAUGUGUUAAGCCUGUAGCUAGCGUUCAUC
rnacentral:rRNA from 1 species